rnacentral:sRNA from 1 species
AAAACCUAAAACAAUGAAAGCCCUUCCUCUCUUCCAUCCUUGCGGCUCCGAUGACCGCGCCAGUGUGAAUCGGGGAUCCAAAAAUGUU